GGGUUUUAGUGGGUGAAGAUCUUCUAGCUAGCAAGUCGGCUUACUUAGUUUAGAUUUUAUGGUCCAUUAUUCUGCCUGUUGUUACUGAACUGUGGACAUCUUGCUGGAGCUGCAAUUUCCGCGAAAUUUCCAAUAUAUAUAUGUAGGGACGUCUCAGUUAAUUUAUUUUGUUGGUAUAUAUAUAUAUAUAUGUUUUUUAUAUGAGACGUCCGUACGAUAAUAUAUUCCGUAUCUUUAGUCUUCAAUGAGACUCGUGAAUCCUGAUUUGAUUUGAUUUCGUAGAGAAGAAGUUAAGAGAGAAAAGUAGGAUUAGAUUUCUACCAUGAAAAGACAACCAGUUCUUUCUGAAAGACUAUUUCUUCUUCGAAAGAAGACUGAUAUGAAGAAGAUUGCUGAGAGUAGAAAGUUCUUAUAAUACGGACGGAUGGUCCAGAGAAGAAGUCGUUUCGCAUUUGGACUGUGUGCUAAUUAUACAUCAUAUAUAUUUAAAGGCCUUAAAGUGUAUGUAUGGUGAACCAAUGUCAGUACAAGCCACACCAACCAAGGCUUGACAGCACCAUUCAUCCAAACCUAUAAAAUAUUGUGGAAGAUUUGGUUUGUAUAUAGCUAGUGAGUGGAGAGUUUCAUGCAGGUACAUUUCUAUCUCUAUCUCUAUCAAAUAAAAUAGUCGGCAAGAUUGGGAGUACGAGAUGAGAAAGAGAAAAAAAGUUUUAUUAUAUUCUAAAAGGAGACUGUUAAAGUUAAUUGUAUUUUAUGAGACCCACCGUAUCUUAAUAGAAGAGAAGAUACUUCUUUU